rnacentral:rRNA from 1 species
GUCUGAGAGGACGACCAGCCACAUUGGGACUGAGACACUGCCCAGACUCCUACGGGAGGCUGCAGUCGAGAAUAUUUAGCAAUGGACGAAAGUCUGACUAUGCGACGCCGCGUGCAGGAUGAAGGUCUUCGGAUUGUAAACUGCUUUUGUUAGGGGAGAAACCUGUGUGGUUAACAGCCAUACAGCUGACGGUACCUGACGAAUAAGCCACGGCAAACUCCGUGCCAGCAGCCGCGGUAAUACGGAGGUGGCAAGCGUUACUCGGAAUUAUUGGGUGUAAAGGGCAGGUAGGUGGUCUUGUAAGUGGGGGGUGAAAUCCUGCGGUUCAAUCGCAGAACUGCCUUCCAAACUGCAGGACUUGAGAGUGUUAGGGGAGAAUGGAAUUCCCGGUGU